GACGAACGCUGGCGGCGUGCUUAACACAUGCAAGUCGAACGAAGAGCGAUGGAAGCUUGCUUCUAUCAAUCUUAGUGGCGAACGGGUGAGUAACGCGUAAUCAACCUGCCCUUCAGAGGGGGACAACAGUUGGAAACGACUGCUAAUACCGCAUACGAUCUAAUCUCGGCAUCGAGGAUAGAUGAAAGGUGGCCUCUACAUGUAAGCUAUCACUGAAGGAGGGGAUUGCGUCUGAUUAGCUAGUUGGAGGGGGAACGGCCCACCAAGGCGAUGAUCAGUAGCCGGUCUGAGGGGAUGAACGGCCACAUUGGGACUGAGACACGGCCCAGACUCCUACGGGAGGCAGCAGUGGGGAAUCUUCCGCAAUGGACGAAAGUCUGACGGAGCAACGCCGCGUGAGUGAUGACGGCCUUCGGGUUGUAAAGCUCUGUUAAUCGGGACGAAAGGCCUUCUUGCGAAUAGUGAGAAGGAUUGACGGUACCGGAAUAGAAAGCCACGGCUAACUACGUG
rnacentral:rRNA from 1 species